rnacentral:rRNA from 1 species
GUGAGGAAUAUUGGUCAAUGGACGCAAGUCUGAACCAGCCAUGCCGCGUGCAGGAUGACGGUCCUAUGGAUUGUAAACUGCUUUUAUACGGGAAGAAACCCUGGCUCGUGAGCCAGACUGACGGUACCGUAAGAAUAAGGAUCGGCUAACUCCGUGCCAGCAGCCGCGGUAAUACGGAGGAUCCAAGCGUUAUCCGGAAUCAUUGGGUUUAAAGGGUCCGUAGGCGGCCCUGUAAGUCAGCGGUGAAAUCUCCCGGCUCAACCGGGAAAUGGCCGUUGAUACUGCAGGGCUUGAAUUAGUAGGAAGUAACUAGAAUAUGUAGUGUAGCGGUGAAAUGCUUAGAGAUUACAUGGAAUACCAAUUGCGAAGGCAGGUUACUACUACUAUAUUGACGCUGAGGGACGAAAGCGUGGGUAGCGAACAGGAUUAGAUACCCUGGUAGUCCACGCCGUAAACGAUGGAUACUAGCUGUUGGGUUGCAAGACUCAGUGGCUAAGCGAAAGUA